rnacentral:rRNA from 1 species
UACGUAGGGUGCAGGCGUUAAUCGGAAUUACUGGGCGUAAAGCGUGCGCAGGCGGUCUUUUAAGUCAGAUGUGAAAUCCCCGGGCUUAACCUGGGAACUGCGUUUGAAACCGGAAGGCUAGAGUGUGGCAGAGGGGGGUGGAAUUCCACGUGUAGCAGUGAAAUGCGUAGAGAUGUGGAGGAACACCGAUGGCGAAGGCAGCCCCCUGGGCUAACACUGACGCUCAUGCACGAAAGCGUGGGGAGCAAACAGG